rnacentral:rRNA from 1 species
AGAGUUUGAUCAUGGCUCAGGAUGAACGCUAGCUACAGGCUUAACACAUGCAAGUCGAGGGGAAACGACAUCGAAAGCUUGCUUUUGAUGGGCGUCGACCGGCGCACGGGUGAGUAACGCGUAUCCAACCUGCCCAUCACUUGGGGAUAACCUUGCGAAAGUAAGACUAAUACCCAAUGAUAUCUCUAGAAGACAUCUGAAAGAGAUUAAAGAUUUAUCGGUGAUGGAUGGGGAUGCGUCUGAUUAGCUUGUUGGGCGGGGUAACGGCCCACAAGGCUACGAUCAGUAGGGGUUCUGAGAGGAACGGUCCCCCACAUUGGAACUGAGACACGGUCCAACUCCGUACGGGAGGCA